CUGGCGGCGCGCCUAACACAUGCAAGUCGAACGGAGUCAAGAGGAGCUUGCUUUUCUUGACUUAGUGGCGAACGGGUGAGUAACGCGUGAGUAACCUGCCCUGAAGUGGGGGACAACAGUUGGAAACGACUGCUAAUACCGCAUAAGCCCACGGAUUCGCAUGGAUCUGCGGGAAAAGGAUUUAUUCGCUUCAGGAUGGACUCGCGUCCAAUUAGCUAGUUGGUGAGGUAACGGCCCACCAAGGCGACGAUUGGUAGCCGGACUGAGAGGUUGAACGGCCACAUUGGGACUGAGACACGGCCCAGACUCCUACGGGAGGCAGCAGUGGGGGAUAUUGCACAAUGGGGGAAACCCUGAUGCAGCGACGCCGCGUGGAGGAAGAAGGUUUUCGGAUUGUAAACUCCUGUCGUUAGGGACGAUAAUGACGGUACCUAACAAGAAAGCACCGGCUAACUACGUGCCAGCAGCCGCGGUAAAACGUAGGGUGCAAGCGUUGUCCGGAAUUACUGGGUGUAAAGGGAGCGCAGGCGGACCGGCAAGUUGGAAGUGAAAACCAUAGGCUCAACCUAUGGAUUGCUUUCAAAACUGCUGGCCUUGAGUAGUGCAGAGGUAGGUGGAAUUCCCGGUGUAGCGGUGGAAUGCGUAGAUAUCGGGAGGAACACCAGUGGCGAAGGCGACCUACUGGGCACCAACUGACGCUGAGGCUCGAAAGCAUGGGUAGCAAACAGGAUUAGAUACCCUGGUAGUCCAUGCCGUAAACGAUGAUUAAUGGGUGUUGGAGGAUUGACCCCUUCAGUGCCGCAGUAACACAAUAAAGUAUUCCACUGGGGGAGUACGACCGCAAGGGUGAAACUCAAAGAAUUGACGGGGGCCCGCACAAGCAGUGGAGUAUGUGGUUUAAUUCGAAGCAACGCGAAGAACCUUACCAGGUCUUGACAUCCGAUGCAUAGUGCAGAGAUGCAUGAAGUCCUUCGGGACAUCGAGACAGGUGGUGCAUGGUUGUCGUCAGCUCGUGUCGUGAGAUGUUGGGUUAAGUCCCGCAACGAGCGCAACCCUUAUUGCCAGUUACUACGCAAGAGGACUCUGGCGAGACUGCCGUUGACAAAACGGAGGAAGGUGGGGAUGACGUCAAAUCAUCAUGCCCUUUAUGACCUGGGCUACACACGUACUACAAUGGCGUUUAACAAAGAGAAGCAAGACCGCGAGGUGGAGCAAAACUCAAAAACAACGUCUCAGUUCAGAUUGCAGGCUGCAACUCGCCUGCAUGAAGUCGGAAUUGCUAGUAAUCGCGGAACAGCAUGCCGCGGUGAAUACGUUCCCGGGCCUUGCACACACGCGCCCGUC
rnacentral:rRNA from 1 species